CCCGCACAAGCGGCGGAGCAUGCGGAUUAAUCGAUGCAACGCGAAGAACCUUACCAAGGCUUGACAUACACCGGUAACGCCCAGAGAUGGGUGCCCCUUUGUGGUCGGUGUACAGGUGGUGCAUGGUUGUCGUCAGCUCGUGUCGUGAGAUGUUGGGUUAAGUCCCGCAACGAGCGCAACCCUCGUCCUAUGUUGCCAGCGGGUCAUGCCGGGGACUCAUGGGAGACUGCCGGGGUCAACUCGGAGGAAGGUGGGGAUGACGUCAAAUCAUCAUGCCCCUUAUGUCUUGGGCUUCACGCAUGCUACAAUGGCCGGUACAAAGGGCUGCGAUACCGCGAGGUGGAGCGAAUCCCAGAAAGCCGGUCUCAGUUCGGAUUGGGGUCUGCAACUCGACCCCAUGAAGUCGGAGUCGCUAGUAAUCGCAGAUCAGCAACGCUGCGGUGAAUACGUUCCCGGGCCUU
rnacentral:rRNA from 1 species